AGCGAACGCUGGCGGCAGGCCUAACACAUGCAAGUCGAACGAACUCUUCGGAGUUUGUGGCGGACGGGUGUGUAACACGUGGGAACGUGCAUUUUGGUUCGGAAUAACUCAGGGAAACUUGUGCUAAUACCGAAUGUGCCCUUCGGGGGAAAGAUUUAUUGCCAUUGGAGCGGCCCGCGUCUGAUUAGCUAGUUGGUGAGGUAACGGCUCACUAAGGCGACGAUCAGUAGCUGGUCUGAGAGGAUGGCCAGCCACACUGAGACUGAGACACGGCCCAGACUCCUACGGGAGGCAGCAGUGGGUGAUCGUGCGCAAUGGGCUGAAGCCUGACGCUGCCAUGCCGCGUGAAUGAUGAAAGUCUUAAGAUUGUAAAGUUCUUUUACCGGUGACGAUAAUGACGGUACCCAGAGAAGAAGCCCCGGCUAACUUCGUG
rnacentral:rRNA from 1 species